UACGGGGGAGCAAGCGUUGUUCGGAUUUACUGGGCGUAAAGGGCGCGUAGGCGGCCACCGCAAGUCGACUGUGAAAUCUCCGGGCUUAACCCGGAAAGGUCAGCCGAUACUGCGGGCUAGAGUGCAGAAGGGGCAACUGGAAUUCUCGGUGUAGCGGUGAAAUGCGUAGAUAUCGAGAGGAACACCUGCGGCGAAGGCGGGUUGCUGGGCUGACACUGACGCUGAUGCGCGAAAGCUAGGGGAGCGAAGCGGG
rnacentral:rRNA from 1 species